GGACCCGCACAAGUAGUGGAGCAUGUGGUUUAAUUCGAAGAUACGCGCAGAACCUUACCAACACUUGACAUGUUCGUCGCGACUCUAAGAGAUUAGAGUUUUCGGUUCGGCCGGACGAAACACAGGUGCUGCAUGGCUGUCGUCAGCUCGUGUCGUGAGAUGUUGGGUUAAGUCCCGCAACGAGCGCAACCCUCACUUUUAGUUGCCAUCAUUUAGUUGGGCACUCUGAAAGAACUGCCAGUGAUAAGCUGGAGGAAGGUGGGGAUGACGUCAAGUCCUCAUGGCCCUUACGUGUUGGGCUACACACGUGCUACAAUGGUAUCUACAACAGGAAGCAAGACGGCGACGUUUAGCAAAUCCUUAAAAGAUACCUCAGUUCGGAUUGCACUCUGCAACUCGAGUGCAUGAAGCUGGAAUU
rnacentral:rRNA from 1 species